GACGAACGCUGGCGGCGUGCUUAACACAUGCAAGUCGAACGGAAAGGCCCUGCUUUUGUGGGGUGCUCGAGUGGCGAACGGGUGAGUAACACGUGAGUAACCUGCCCUUGACUUUGGGAUAACUUCAGGAAACUGGGGCUAAUACCGGAUAGGAGCUCCUGCUGCAUGGUGGGGGUUGGAAAGUUUCGGCGGUUGGGGAUGGACUCGCGGCUUAUCAGCUUGUUGGUGGGGUAGUGGCUUACCAAGGCUUUGACGGGUAGCCGGCCUGAGAGGGUGACCGGCCACAUUGGGACUGAGAUACGGACCAGACUCCUACGGGAGGCAGCAGUGGGGAAUAUUGCACAAUGGGCGGAAGCCUGAUGCAGCAACGCCGCGUGCGGGAUGACGGCCUUCGGGGUGUAAACCGCUUUCGCCUGUGACGAAGCGUGAGUGACGGUAAUGGGUAAAGAAGCACCGGCUAACUACGUG
rnacentral:rRNA from 1 species